UGGGGAAUAUUGGACAAUGGGCGGAAGCCUGAUCCAGCAACGCCGCGUGAGGGAUGACGGCCUUCGGGUUGUAAACCUCUUUCAGCACAGACGAAGCGCAAGUGACGGUAUGUGCAGAAGAAGGACCGGCCAACUACGUGCCAGCAGCCGCGGUAAUACGUAGGGUCCGAGCGUUGUCCGGAAUUAUUGGGCGUAAAGGGCUCGUAGGCGGUUUGUCGCGUCGGGAGUGAAAACACCGGGCUUAACUCGGUGCUUGCUUUCGAUACGGGCAGACUAGAGGCAUUCAGGGGAGAACGGAAUUCCUGGUGUAGCGGUGAAAUGCGCAGAUAUCAGGAGGAACACCGGUGGCGAAGGCGGUUCUCUGGGAAUGUCCUGACGCUGAGGAGCGAAAGUGUGGGGAGCGAACAGGAUUAGAUACCCUGGUAGUCCACACCGUAAAACGUUGGGCGCUAGGUGUGGGAUCCAUUCCACGGGUUCCGUGCCGCAGCUAACGCAUUAAGUGCCCCGCCUGGGGAGUACGGCCGCAAGGCUAAAACUCAAAUGAAUUGACGGGGUCAUAGCUGUUUCCU
rnacentral:rRNA from 1 species